rnacentral:lncRNA from 1 species
AAGACUCCGUGGGCGUAGGACCCUCCGAGCCAGGUGUGGGAUAUAGUCUCGUGGUGCGCCAUUUUUUAAGCCCGUCAGAAAAGCGCAGUAUUCGGGUGGGAGUGACCCUAUUUUCCAGGUGCGUCCAUCACCCCUUUCUUUGACUCGGAAAGGGAACUCCCUGACCCCUUGCGCUUCCCCAGUGAGGUAAUGCCUCACCCUGCUUCGGCUCGUGCACGGUGCGCGCACCCACUGACCUGCGCCCACUGUCUGGCGCUCCCUAGUGAGAUGAACCUGGUACCUCAGAUGGAAAUGCAGAAAUCACCCGUCUUCUGCAUCGCUCACGCUGGUAGCUGUAGACCGGAGCUGUUCCUAUUCGGCCAUCUUGGCUCUCCCUCGUCUUAUUGAUUGGAGAGCGAUUGAUUGGAGAGUGCAGACGUAUGCAGCAACAGGUUUGUCAGAUGUGGUGGUCAUUGCUCUUACUCCAGCUUUGCAUCCUAGAAUCACCUUGUUCAGAUCAUCACCACUUCUCAAUUGGGUGAUGGUGGUAGUUUCCUACCUACUGUUGUUACCGGAGAGGGGUCCCGAUCCAGAUCCUGAGACGGUUUAUGAAUCUCACUCAAGAAAGAAUUUGAGGAUGACAAUGAACAAAGAAUUAGCCCUCUGAAAUGAGGAAUUGAGAGCUUCAAUAUGCAAAAAGGAGAGCAAGCAAAAGAGGAAGAAAAAAAAAAGGUGUUACAGGAAGUCAGGGACCCUGAAUGGAGGGAACAGCUGGAGCCAUGGCAGAGGAACAUAAACUGUG